CACGGUUCAGAUCCGAGCUCUCUUUUCUCUAUCUCUCUGUCCCUUAUCUCUUCCAUAAGAAGAAGAAGAGAUCUUUCACUGUCUUCUCCGUUCUCCGUUCUCCCUUGCAGCCUUCAGAGAUUCGGAUCAGUUCAAUCUAAAGUGGUGUUAAGGUUUCUCAACUAUCCACUAUGGAUCAGGCAGAACUGUCUAUGGAGCAGGUGUUGAAAAGGGACAUUCCAUGGGAGACUUACAUGACAACUAAGCUCAUCUCAGCCACAGGUCUCCAGCUCUUGAGGCGCUUUGAUAAAAAACCUGAAAGUGCUAGGGCACAGUUGCUCGAU